rnacentral:misc_RNA from 1 species
GAUGAAGAACGCAGCGAAAUGCGAUACGUAAUGUGAAUUGCAGAAUUCAGUGAAUCAUCGAAUCUUUGAACGCACAUUGCGCCCGCCAGCACUCUGGCGGGCAUGCCUGUUCGAGCGUCAUUUCAACCAUCAAGCCCCAGGCUUGCGUUGGAGCCCUGCGGCUGCCGCAGCAUCCUAAAAGCAGUGGCGGGCUCGCUAUCACACCGAGUGCAGUAGAUUACUCUUCGCUCAGGGCGUGCAGCGGGUUCCGGCCGUGAAACCCCCUACUUUUAAAGGUUGACCUCGGAUCAGGUAGGAAUACCCGCUGAACUUAAGCAUAUCAAUAAGCGGAGGA